UACGGGGGGAGCAAGCGUUGUUCGGAUUUACUGGGCGUAAAGGGCGCGUAGGCGGUCAGCACAAGUCAGUUGUGAAAUCUCCGGGCUUAACUCGGAAAGGUCAACUGAUACUGUGCGACUAGAGUGCGGGAAGGGGCAACUGGAAUUCUCGGUGUAGCGGUGAAAUGCGUAGAUAUCGAGAGGAACACCUGCGGCGAAGGCGGGUUGCUGGGCCGACACUGACGCUGGAUGCGCGAAAGCCAGGGGAGCGAACGGG
rnacentral:rRNA from 1 species